rnacentral:misc_RNA from 1 species
GAUGAAGAACGCAGCGAAAUGCGAUACGUAAUGUGAAUUGCAGAAUUCAGUGAAUCAUCGAAUCUUUGAACGCAUAUUGCGCUCUCUGGUAUUCCGGAAAGCAUGCUUGUUUGAGUAUCAGUAAACACCUCAACUUCCAUAUCUUUUUUGAAAUGGGAGUUGGACUUGAGUGAUCCCAACGCUUUUCCUCACCGAAAAGUGGCGGGUUACUUGAAAUGCAGGUGCAGCUGGACUUUUCUCUGAGCUAUAAGCAUAUCUAUUUAGUCUGCCUAAAAAACAGAUUAUUACCUUUGCUGCAGCUAACAUAAAGGAGAUUAGUUCUUGUGCUGACUGAUGCAGGAUUCACAAAGACAGGCUUCGGCCGACUUUGUAAACUCGAUCUCAAAUCAAGUAAGACUACCCGCUGAACUUAAGCAUAUCAAUAAGCGGAGGA